rnacentral:rRNA from 1 species
GACAGAGGUGCCGAGCGUUAGGCGGAAUCACUGGGCUUAAAGCGUGUGUAGGCGGAUCGUUAAGUACCUUGUGAAAUCCCACGGCUCAACCGUGGAACUGCUGGGUAUACUGGCGGUCUUGAGCCACCUAGGGGCGAGCGGAACAAGCGGUGGAGCGGUGAAAUGCGUAGAUAUCGCUUGGAACGCCAACGGUGAAAACAGCUCGCUGGGGGUGUGCUGACGCUGAGACACGAAAGCCAAGGGAGCGAACGGG